GUUUUUAAAAUGAUUUACAACCGUUUUUAAAAGAUAAUUUCAACCGUUGAAAAAGUUACAGUAAUGUUAAACACUGUAUCUGUUACUAAUUGGGCCUAGGCCUGUUAUUUAGAAAAACAAACUGUUUUAGUUUAAAAAACACUAAAAGCCCAAAAAACACUAAAGCCCAAAAAUUCACUAUAACCUAAAAACAAAUUAAACAGGGAUUGGCUGCUGACAUCUUCACCGAAUUAGGGUCAGUCACUUUGUAGAAGUAGCAGACUUCUAAUCAAAAAGUAGUGGAGUACAAGAUAGAUUUAUAAACUUUGUCAUUUGAAUAUUUUAUGAACAUCUAUAUGGAACAAGAUUUAUGAAGUUUAUUUAGUUCAACUCCUAUUUUACAAAAUUACUGUAUAAUGGUUGUUUGGGUUAACAGGUGCUUUGAUUUGAAUGGAAAAGGACUUUAAACAUGCUUUUAAACAGGGUUUUUAAAUGAAUUAUAAGCUGUUUUAAAAGCGUUUUAAAAGUGUUGAAAAAGCUGCAGUAGCUGCUAUUAUGAAAAGAUUUACAAUCGUUUUUAAAAUGAUUUACAACCGUUUUUAAAAGAGAAUAUCAACCGUUGAAAAAGUUACAGUAAUGUUAAACACUGUAUUUGUUACUAAUUGGGCCUAGGCCUGUUAUUUAGAAAAACAAACUGUUUUAGUAAAAAAAAACACUAAAAGCCCAAAAAACACUAAAGCCCAAAAAUUCACUAUAACCUAAAAACAAAUUAAACAGGGAUUGGCUUCUGACAUCUUCACCGAAUUAGGGUCAGUCACUUUGAAAAGAUUUACAACCGAUUUUAAAAUGAUUUACAACCGUUUUUAAAAGAGAAUAUCAACCGUUGAAAAAGUUACAGUAAUGUUAAACACUGUAUCUGUUACUAAUUGGGCCUAGGCCUGUUAUUUAGAAAAACAAACUAUUU
rnacentral:sRNA from 1 species